GAUGAAGAACGUAGCGAAAUGCGAUAAGUAGUGUGAAUUGCAGAAUUCAGUGAAUCAUCGAAUCUUUGAACGCACAUUGCGCCCCUUGGUAUCCCGAGGGGCAUGCCUGUUCGAGCGUCAUUUCACCACUCAAGCCUGGCUUGGUGUUGGGCGACGUCCCCUUUGGGGACGCGUCUCGAAACGCUCGGCGGCGUGGCACCGGCUUUAAGCGUAGCAGAAUCUUUCGCUUUGGAAGUCGGGGCCCCGUCUGCCGGAAGACCUACUCGCAAGGUUGACCUCGGAUCAGGCAGGGAUACCCGCUGAACUUAAGCAUAUCAAUAAGCGGAGGA
rnacentral:misc_RNA from 1 species